AAACAUAAGAAAGACUGAAUGAUUCCAGCACAGUUCUGGGAAUCGAUCUGUUCUCCUUAGUCACCAGUGAUAGGACCCAAGGGAAUGGUGUCAAGCUGAGGCAGGGGAAGUUUAGGCUGGACAUCAGGAAGAGGUUCCUCACUGAGCGGGUGGUUGCACACUGGAACAGUCUCCCCAGGGAAGUAGUCACUGCACCAAGCCUGUUGGAGUUUAAGAAGUGUUUAGACUGUGCACUUAGUCACAUGGUCUAAAAUUUUGGGUAGACCUGUGUUGUGCCAGGAGUUGGACUUGAUGAUCCUUAUGGGUCCCUUCCAACUCGGGAUAUUCUAUGAUUCUAUAAUGUCCUGAUAAAGGCCAUGCAGUUAAGACAAUUCCCAAACAGUUAUUUGUUUCACUCCUAGUGCCAACAGUGACUGUUGACUGCAUUUUGCUAGAACAAAAUGUGGGGAAAGCAGCAUUGCUUCCUCAGAGAGCUAACAGUUCAAAGGGACCUUUAAUGCCACCUGGAACCUCAGUUUGUACUUUCCACAGCAGAUUAAUAUCCUCUGUUGUGGUUAGGCAGGAUGGCUUUCAGGGAAUUGGUUCCUUAAAUUUCAGUUUCAACGGCAUUGCAUGAGAAGGGACAGAUGCUGCAAAACAAAUGUAGACAGCCUAAUAUUCUGUAACUGAGUUCAACUGCUGAAGGUAACUUCAAAGAAUCCUGGUUCAAAUUCAGGUCUGGAGUUCAUCAGAAAUUUGAAAUGCUUUCCCAAGAUACCAGAAUGAGCAAAAUCUUAUGUGGAUGUCAGAGGAAGAAAAUGACAUUAGACGAGUGUUAUUUUAUGCCCGAAGUAUACCACUUUACAUGGUGGCUUUUAGAAUUCUGGUUUACAGAAAACUCUUCUUGUUAGAGAGAGAAAAUAGGGGGGCCAAUUAAAGAAUCAAACUCCUUCCUUAAAAUGUACCAGAAUCUUAACAAAGUCCACUAAAACAUGACUUUUCGGAGGACAUUAGCAAUUGUUAGUUGAAAUGCCAAGUAAACCACUAAAACUUUCCAGUCAUGUUAUGUCAUUCUUCCUAAUUAAAGUUUAUGAUCUGUCAGGGCAUAAUCUUAGUUAUUUAAGAACAGCAAGAUACGGCUGAUAACCACACUGGUGACCAUUUAGGUAGAAAGCUGCUCUGUUUGAGGCAAUAGGAAUCACAAAAAGACGCUCAAGUUAUCUUCAAGGUAUUGAAGGAUACUUCAUAUAUUGCAG
rnacentral:lncRNA from 1 species